rnacentral:lncRNA from 1 species
UAGUUCGUAUUAUUUUGGGAAUUAGUAUGUAUAGUGGCUAACUCAUUGUUUCAAUGCGAAAUAGUAUUAUUUCCACAAAUUGACUUCGUCAUCACUAGCUCCUUGGAUUGCAGUCCAAUCCAUUCUAUUAUGACACAGGUCUAAACUUUGCCAUCUGCAGCAAGAUUUGCCAGCGUAGCAAAAGCUUGGCACGUACUGUCAUAUCUCAAUUAUCUAGGCGAACUAACCAACCCGUCAUAAUUGACCGUGACCCUUGAAUAUGCUCUACUAACCUCUCUUCUCCAUCGUCGCAAAAUGCACUACUCGUGAAGUGAUGUUAUGUCAUUAUGAAUCAACACGGUGAGGGCAUGCCUGCAUAUUAUUCCUCUAAACUCGAACAAGUGGCAGUUGGAACUAAUUUCACAGUCCUCAGGUUGAAACGUAACUUCGAACGAUUUCUUCUUUCGACGUUGUUCAUGUAUGACAUCUUCCCAUAUAUUGUAUGUCAUCCCAAGAAGUCCUUCUGAGGAAGAUACGAUAUCGCAGUAAACUUUCCCUGUGAACUCAACUUGAACUUCUCAAAAUUUUGAAAUGGUGUAUACUGACUGAAACUGCUUCUCCAUAUAAUAAGUUGUCGCAUACGGUACCAUUUGUGAAAACAAUUUAAAAUCAACAUGGAACUCUUUCUCAAUCUUAUUCCGUUAUACCCGUUCAUACUGUUCAACAAACUGUACCAAAGAAGUCUUUGAAUGAAAGUAUCUAUCAAAAAAAUGCAUUCAUGCUCUCACUUCUUUGCAUCGUCGACAUCCCUGCCCAGAAAGUAGUUUUCAAAAAGCAAGAGAUCCAACGACCUCUAUUAUCGUAAAGGCCUAACAACCAAGUAUUAUCAUGCAACCCAUAUGACUUGAUCAUCGUUAUCCAACCUCCUUCAAAUUCAAUUAUAGUUUGGGAAUCAUAAAACCAAUGCACGAAUAGUCGAAAGUAUUGAACCCUUACCCAUGUGGUAGCCGAGCUUCUCAGACAACUUCUUCAGGUUUGAGAGCGGUAAUGAAAAUUUUACAAAACGUUUUUUUUUUUUUUUUUUGCAAUAAAAAAUGUUAGUUACACUACAUCAUUGAAUCUUAAGAACCGAUUUUUCUGAUGUUCUUGUUUGUUUUGGGCUUCAAUUGCCAAAUAUGAGAGAUCAAGUGUAUAAUGGUGCUAAUAAUAUGCGUGAUGCUUGGUAUGAAAUAUAAGCAUUAUUUUUUAGAGAUUAUUCAUAUGCAUAUUAUGUCCAUUGUUUUACCUAUCAUUUACAACUUACAUUAGUUUUAGCAGUUAAAGAUGUCAUGGUUAUUAAUUCAUUCUUGUUCCAUUUGGACGGUGUUAUUAAUAUGAUUACAUCAUCUUAAUUGAAAAGUGCCCAAAGAAAUAAAUUGAACAUUUGUUAAAAAUUGAAGAACAAGAGUCUAGAAGUGGUGAUAAUCAGAUUGUGAAUUUGCAACGAGCUGAAUGUACUCGUUGGUCUUCUCAUUACCACUUUGUAAAGAGUUUAAUUGAUAUGUAUGCUACAACUUGCUAGGUGCUUAAAUAUCUUAGUGAUCAUUCUCCAAAUACAAGAUCUCGAUUCGAAAUGGGUGGUGUAUACAAAAACAUAACAUUCGAAUGGGUAAAGUGGACUCCGCUGCCAAGCUACAAAUGAGUGAAAUACAUACAUAAGCAACCAACUUUGUAAUCCUUGCUCCCAUCCAAUACAGGGGCAGGGUGUUCAAGUUCGAAAUAAACAAGAGUAACUUAUUCCAUCAACUGCAUGGGCUAUCCGAAAAGCAUCAAAAACCUGUUCUACCUUGAUCUGACAAAUGUGGAUAGUAGUACGCAAACGCAUGGCCUAUAAUACAAAUUUAACUUCCGUAAGUGCAUGAAUAAAAAAUCGAAAUGAAUUAUAAAUACACGAUCAAUGUUAACUUACCUUGCGAAUUGUACAAGUCAUUUGUUGACGACAAAUUCAUCAUAUUGGAAGAUUGUAAGCAUUGCACAUAUGACAAUGACGUCAGCAUGCCACGUUCUGGUAAUGGAAAGGGCGUCGAAAGUGAAAUUUGUGAUAAUGUGACUUGUGGAGACGGGGAAUAUUGGUUUUCUACAGAAAUUGGCUGCCCUUCAGGUACACCCACACAUGUACUACUAUGCUUUCAUGUCAGCCUCUUUCGCUUGAUUGAAGUCAAAUUUAACUAUAUGUACAUCAUAAUAAAUGAGACUUUGUGUAUACAAAUAAUUUACAAAUUUCUACAAAACUUUCAAUAAACCUGUACCUUCUUUGAAGAAGAGUCUAAAGGUCCUUUUCGUCGAAGUUUUUUUGUGCUCCUUUUCUUCGGCACAGUGUCGGAUCCAAUAUGUUCUAGUUCGUAUUAUUUUGGGAAUUAGUAUGUAUAGUGGCUAACUCAUUGUUUCAAUGCGAAAUAGUAUUAUUUCCACAAAUUGACUUCGUCAUCACUAGCUCCUUGGAUUGCAGUCCAAUCCAUUCUAUUAUGACACAGGUCUAAACUUUGCCAUCUGCAGCAAGAUUUGCCAGCGUAGCAAAAGCUUGGCACGUACUGUCAUAUCUCAAUUAUCUAGGCGAACUAACCAACCCGUCAUAAUUGACCGUGACCCUUGAAUAUGCUCUACUAACCUCUCUUCUCCAUCGUCGCAAAAUGCACUACUCGUGAAGUGAUGUUAUGUCAUUAUGAAUCAACACGGUGAGGGCAUGCCUGCAUAUUAUUCCUCUAAACUCGAACAAGUGGCAGUUGGAACUAAUUUCACAGUCCUUAG